rnacentral:rRNA from 1 species
GACGAACGCUGGCGGCGUGCUUAACACAUGCAAGUCGAACGGAAAGGCCCCUUUGGGGGUACUCGAGUGGCGAACGGGUGAGUAACACGUGAGUAACCUGCCCUUGACUUCGGGAUAACUUCAGGAAACUGGGGCUAAUACCGGAUAGGAAUCCUUGCGGCAUGGUGGGGGUUGGAAAGCUUCGGCGGUUUUGGAUGGACUCGCGGCUUAUCAGCUUGUUGGUGGGGUAGUGGCUUACCAAGGCUUUGACGGGUAGCCGGCCUGAGAGGGCGACCGGCCACAUUGGGACUGAGAUACGGCCCAGACUCCUACGGGAGGCAGCAGUGGGGAAUAUUGCACAAUGGGCGGAAGCCUGAUGCAGCAACGCCGCGUGCGGGAUGACGGCCUUCGGGUUGUAAACCGCUUUCAGCAGGGGCGAAGCUUGUGGUGACGGUACCUGCAGAAGAAGCACCGGCUAACUACGUG